GCAGAAACCGCUGUGCGCGCAAUGGAGACAAGCUGAAUGACUGCGCAGUCACUUGCUCAAGGCAGUUACAGGUACGUGAGGUUACCAAUAUGAUUUAUAUUAGAGAGAUGAUCCAGCAGUGAAAGGAUUCGCGCGUAAAGGCCAGUUGAGUGUUGCAAUAUGGCAUCUCUCUUUUCAAUAUUUUUACUCUUUGUCGCGACAACACUCGGCACGGAGAGCGUAGCCGAGAUCUGUCGGGGGACCCGCUGCUUCUCCGGACAGGACUGGAGCAGAGCGUGCGUCGGAGCGCACUGCCAGGGGCGCACGGACGCAUCUGCAUCCCGACGGCAAUUUCACCAUUCCGCACAAUCUAGGCAAGGACAAGUGUAUCAGAGUCACCAGCAGGAUGCUCAUUUCACUUCCCACCAAGCACAGAGCGCGCCUCUAGCGCCGUACGCCAUCCACCAGUCUCAGCACGGAGCCUAUGCGCAAUCAACGGAUGGCGCAAGAAGGACGAACCCGAGGACCAUUACGGCCGAGGUGUUUCAUCCCGGCUGCGCCGGUGGGACUUGCCCGACAACUGUCACCAAUCACCCCACGAAUGAUGACAGUGCAACGAGGGAGUGCAAAGGAAUUGGAUGUAAAUUGCCUUCCCGGAUGCGCCAGAAGCACAAGCCUUGUGUCGGAGACAGUUGCGGUACACAUGGAGACAACGGGAGAGGCAACUCUUCACCUGUGCACGUGACGGAUAGAGCGGCACAGUUCCUGGAUGAGCUCCCAGACUUUGGGUCGGAACGUGGAGCGUGGAUACAGCUGACAUGUGACAUGAAACCAGGGACCAAUGAGGUUCCGUCAGAGGAUGCUCUUGUGCUGCAGCUCCAGCUGUCUAAGAGCCAGGAGAGGCUGGUUGAGGCUCUUAAGGGGCAGCAGAACGAGGUGAAGGAGCUGCAGAGGCUCCUCGGUGAGCAGCAGGGGAUGCUGGUCAGCCAGCAGAGAGAAAUCCUGGAACAGCAAAGAAGGAUGUAUGAGCAGAUGGAGCAAGUGAAAGCCCAGUACAACAUUUUGAUGGACAACGUCAAACAAACAUCCUUCCAGAACAUCCGAGGAGAGCUGGACAGUCACAUGGAAACCCUGAGUGGACAGGUUAGAGCCCACCAAGCACAGCAGGCUCUCUCCUUGCACAAAGUGGACAUGGAGGCCAGCGUCAUGGAGGUGAGAGGAAGGAUUCAAUGAUAAGGUGUAUUAAAACCUGCAACCAGGCAGUCAGUAUGAUAGCAGACCUUAGUAUGUAGCUCUACAGUUGUGUU
rnacentral:lncRNA from 1 species